GUUUCCUUCUUGUUUUCCAUUGCUGUUAGAAGCAUAAUGAGAUUUGGAAGGCUUUCCUUUAAUAGAAUUGUGCUGAACCUGGAACCGAUGCUUCAAUCAUGGGUAAGGGAAGAAGUGGAAAGAGCAAUUUUGUCUUCCUUUCAACCAUCUUCAAGGUCAUUGACUAAUCAGAUUGAAGCAUCUAGAGGAAGAAGCUUGCAGUUACGAUUCGUCAAUAAACUACCCUCCACCAUAUUUACGGGACGCAAGGUUGAAGCCGAGGAUGGGGAGACCAUUAGGCUUAUCCUAGUCGAUGCAACUAUGGGAAUGAUGAUCUCAUCUGGUUCACUGUCUUCUAUUAAGGUUGAGAUUCUAGUCCUUAACGGUGAGUUUGGCACUGAUGAGCGAGAAGAUUGGACAGAAAGUGAAUUCAAUGCCAGUGUUCUUCGUGAAAGAGAAGGUAGAAGACCACUGGUGACGGGAUCUCAGUAUCACCUUGGUUGACGGUGUAGGAACAGUUGAUAAUUUGAUUUUCACCGACAAUUCUAGCUGGAUAAGAAGUCGAAAGUUUAGACUAGGAGCUAGAGUUAUGCAGAGAAUUCCUGGUGAAUCGACAAUCAGGGAGGCUACAAGUGAAGCAUUCAUGGUGAAGGAUCAUCGUGGAGAGUUAAUACAAGAAGCGCUACCCUCCCUUCCCUCAUGAUGAAGUGUGGCGUCUGGAAAGGAUAGCCAAAGAUGGUGCCUUCCAUAAACGGCUCACCUCUAAAAAUAUUUUCACAGUCAAGGACUUCCUGAGGUUGCAUGUUACCGAUCCAUCUGCACUGCACGAUAUACUCGGUAGUGGGAUCUCGAAUCGGGUAUGGGAUACAAUCAUAGAUCAUGCUCUGUCUUGUAUUCUUGAUGAUGAGUGGUAUUCCUACUAUGGAACCGCACAAAGCGUUGGACUCUUAUUAGACUCCAUUUACAGAGUUGUGGCAGCAACAUUGGAUGGCGAAAACUACCACCUUGUGGAAAAAUUUACCUUUUCUCAGAAGGUUAGUUUGUCAUAUCAUAAGAACUCAAAUAGA